UUAAUUGAAGCCAAAAAGAGGCAUUUUAUUGUUAAUAAAAAUAUUGAUUAAUAUCCAAUUAAA
rnacentral:tRNA from 1 species